UCUGCCUAACUUGGCACCCUUGUGAUGCCAUACAGAGAAAUCACAGGGCAGUACCUGAGGGUCUGU
rfam:Heterocephalus glaber contig127759, whole genome shotgun sequence.